rnacentral:lncRNA from 1 species
AGUAGUUUGCCAUCUCAGUCUUUGCUCAGAGAUCGACAUCUUAGGCUGACUCAGAUCAGACUUUGAUCCCUCAUAUCUCUACUAUUUUUCUAGAUGCUCACAGCUCAGUCCGUACGACUUGAGAAGAUUGAGGGAUGUGUUCUGAGACUGACAGGCAAAGUUCUAGAUUUACAGAGGCAAGUAUUAGCCUUAGCCCAUCUCCAGCCAC